AAAUUCAGCCGAUUUAUUUUACAGGUUAAUAGCUCCACACAAUAACGAGAGAGAGAGAGCGAGUAACCAUAAGCUAUCUACAACCUGCAUUUCAUACGAUUUGUUUCAUUGACGUCAAUGGGGCUGCAACUAGUCAGAGAAGAAGAGGCAGCAUCACCUAAUCGACACCAGUACCACCACCAGCUCAGCAAAAACCAAGAGCAAAACGGUCUCACUACAAGUAGUCUGAGUGAAAACGGGAUCUCUUCUGCAUCCCAUAACAAAACUAACAAAUCUGUGCGAAUCGAGAUUUUUGAGCAUCACUCGCUCCCAGAAGUUCGUGCAGGACGCAACGGUGGGCUUGAAAUUAGGGGAAGUUCUACCAAACUGUUUAACCCGCACGGGAAGAAAAAACUUUUUCAGAAAAAGCUGACUGAAAAUUCGGAAAAGUUACAAACUCCGAAUUGUUGGGAUCCCUACGAGCGAAUUGGAAGCAGUACUUCAUCGAGUGGACUUCACCUCUUGUGGGACGCGUUUCAACCCGAACUGCGGACCGGUUACGGGUACAAGUGUGUGACGCGGAGUACUAAGGUGUACCUCGAGUUGGAAAAGGUGGACAUUGCGAGUGACGACUUGCUGCUGGACGAGAAGAAGAAGACUUGUCAAAUAGUGCGUAAAGUGAGGAGGAGAAAACAAUUAAAAAGUGGGCAGCUUAUCGAUCCGCCCAGUAUUGAUUAGUACAUCGGACAAGAGAGCAAUUUGCGGUAAAAGAGAGAAAGCCGAGAAGAAGAGAGAGACAGAGAAAUGGUCAUGAUGGAGUUGGAAAUGGAGCAACCCACAACCACCACCACCAGCGAUACCACCACGACGACAAACAGUGCUUCGAAUACGACCAAGCUCCAACUGGACUCGUACUUUAUCCGCUUGUCCAUCCACCAACAACAGACAGGGAACAGUGGUGGUGAGGGAAAGUCGUUGCAAACGCGAGCGGAGGAACUUGAGAGGAAAAUUUCCACGUCUUCUACAUCAUCAUCGCCCCCGUUGACGCCAACGAUUCAGAUCACGACGACCGGGGCGACGCCGUCCUCAUCGAGUGGGAGUAGUAAGAACGGCACCACGUUCUUUUUACAAGUACCGACCCAAGAUUUGUCCAAGUUGGCGAUUAUGCCGCACAACUAAAAACUUCAUAAAUUGACUGACUCCCACUUUUUAUAUAAGUAUGCUGAAAAAGUUACCAUUUUAAUCUCAAUUUUUUUUUGUUUCCCGUAAAAAAUAUUUAAAUAAUGGUCGAAGGCCAUCCAAAAACGCAUCGUCGCUUGACCCGCUCCAUAUCGACGGGAAGUUCUGGUAUGAUAAUAAGUCCCAACAACAGCGCGAGGGUAACUUCGAUCACGGCAACAACGCCGCGGUCUACCUCUGUUUAUAGUACGUUAAGCUUGCAUCUUAUCAAUUCGACGCCAUCGUCGCAAGUAACAACGCCAAAUUUUGUGGUUCCGAACCCCAUCACUACAACAACGAGUACGAAGAGACCUUCGUCCCCCAUGUCGUCGUCGACAUCGCCACCCCUUCUGAUCCAGAGUGGGAGAAAGGAGACGAGAUCGAUCCUUUAUCAAGGCAUUUAUCAAAAGUUUAAUCGAGUCUUCUCCGCCGUGAAUGCCUUCAAGAUGCAGAAAGUUAAGGGGUCCUCGGUGUCUGGGGAGUAUUCGAGAGUGGCGACGACGACGACGACGACCGAGGGAACAGCGACAUCGUCGCCGUCCACGUCGUUGCAGAAUUUCCAAACUUAACAUACCUUGGAAUAUUGGGCGACGACGUAUUUGAAAAUCUCUGGAGGAGCGAGGGUCAAGAGGGGUUCGACCGCAUCGAGAUCGUCGGUACGGAGCAGGAUCAUCUAAAAAAAAUAUUUAUAAAAAAAGAAAUCAAUAUUAAAAAAGCUAAUGGUAAAUAUUAGUUAAUUAAUGAUAAGCCAUCACAUAAUAUGUGUAACAAAAGUCUUCUAAGUAAUUCUUCUAAGUAAACACGUAUCAAAUUAUUUAAUGGAAAUUACAGCAUUUAAGAACAGUGUGUCUACCUACCUACAUUUAAUUAAUUAACGGCGUACUUAAGACGGGACAUAAAGUAUUUAAUUUAUUAUUGUUAUUAUUAUUACGUAUUGCGUUUGUCGAUAUUUUAUACAUGAAUUUUAGUCGUAUGCAUUUUGAUGAAUUGUUCUAUCAUGCAAAAAGGGUAUUGUGCAUUUCGGUAGUAAUUAAGAAAUUAUGUGAUACGAGACUAAUUAAGAGAAGGCAAGAAGAAUUAUUAAGAAUCGUCGUCCUUGUACAUGUACAUAAUUACGAUUAUUAAUUUAAUUAAGGAAACGAAUAAAUAAAAUAAUACUGAACGUUCUACCUUCAA